GACGAACGCUGGCGGCGUGCCUAAUACAUGCAAGUUGAGCGCUGAAGGUUGGUACUUGUACCGACUGGAUGAGCAGCGAACGGGUGAGUAACGCGUGGGGAAUCUGCCUUUGAGCGGGGGACAACAUUUGGAAACGAAUGCUAAUACCGCAUAAAAACUUUAAACACAAGUUUUAAGUUUGAAAGAUGCAAUUGUAUCACUCAAAGAUGAUCCCGCGUUGUAUUAGCUAGUUGGUGAGGUAAAGGCUCACCAAGGCGAUGAUACAUAGCCGACCUGAGAGGGUGAUCGGCCACAUUGGGACUGAGGCACUGCCCAAACUCCUACGGGAGGCAGCAGUAGGGAAUCUUCGGCAAUGGACGAAAGUCUGACCGAGCAAAGCCGCGUGAGUGAAGAAGGUUUUCGGAUCGUAAAACUCUGUUGGUAGAGAAGGACGUUGGUGAGAGUGGAAAGCUCAUCAAGUGACGGUAACUACCCAGAAAGGGACGGCUAACUACGUGCCAGCAGCCGCAGUAA
rnacentral:rRNA from 1 species